rnacentral:lncRNA from 1 species
CCAAAUGUCUGAAAGGUUGAAUUCUCUUCUUGUUGAGACCCUUGCACCUUCACCUAGAUUCCUCCCUGGGCAGCUGCGGUGAAUGGAUCUGGCUACCAAAAAGAAGAGAACAGCACUUCUACCUGUUACCUGUGUGAUGGAAAUGUGAGGACAGCUAUGAAUCUGCAGUGAACUCCAAGCUGUAUGGCAGCUACAGGAUCAAGCAAAGGAUUUCUUGGAAAGGAAGGGAGAUGUCUUGGAUUCCCAAACAUGAAGAGUUUCCACUUAGUGAUUAUCAUAUACUCAGCUCUGUAGAGUGCUAAGUCUUUGGUUUAGUUUCCCAUACAGAGAAAUUGAACACGACCGAAGCAGG